UAGGGAAUCUUCGGCAAUGGGGGCAACCCUGACCGAGCAACGCCGCGUGAGUGAAGAAGGUUUUCGGAUCGUAAAGCUCUGUUGUAAGAGAAGAACGUGUGUGAGAGUGGAAAGUUCACACAGUGACGGUAACUUACCAGAAAGGGACGGCUAACUACGUGCCAGCAGCCGCGGUAAUACGUAGGUCCCGAGCGUUGUCCGGAUUUAUUGGGCGUAAAGCGAGCGCAGGCGGUUUAAUAAGUCUGAAGUUAAAGGCAGUGGCUUAACCAUUGUUCGCUUUGGAAACUGUUAAACUUGAGUGCAGAAGGGGAGAGUGGAAUUCCAUGUGUAGCGGUGAAAUGCGUAGAUAUAUGGAGGAACACCGGUGGCGAAAGCGGCUCUCUGGUCUGUAACUGACGCU
rnacentral:rRNA from 1 species